UGUAGGAGUGAGCCUGCUCGCGAUAACGGUGUGUCGGUCAACAUUGCGCUGACUGAUACACCGUUAUCGCGAGCAGGCUCACUCCUACA
rnacentral:antisense_RNA from 1 species